GGGGUUGUGGCUCAGUGGUAGAGUGCUUGCCUGGCACAUAUGAGGCCCUGGGUUCAAUUCUUAGCAUCACAU
rfam:Ictidomys tridecemlineatus contig099861, whole genome shotgun sequence.